UACAGGGGGGGCAAGCGUUGUUCGGAAUUACUGGGCGUAAAGGGUUCGUAGGUGGCCAACUAAGUCAGACGUGAAAUCCCUCAGCUUAACUGGGGAACUGCGUCUGAUACUGGAUGGCUUGAGUGCAGGAGAGGAACGCGGAAUUCCAGGUGUAGCGGUGAAAUGCGUAGAUAUCUGGAGGAACACCGGUGGCGAAGGCGGCGUUCUGGACUGCAACUGACACUGAGGAACGAAAGCCAGGGGAGCAAACGGGAUUAGAUACCCCGGUAGUCCUGGCCCUAAACGAUGAAUGCUUGGUGUAACGGGUAUCGAUCCCUGUUGUGCCGAAGCUAACGCAUUAAGCAUUCCGCCUGGGGAGUACGGUCGCAAGGCUG
rnacentral:rRNA from 1 species